AGAGAAACUCCAGCUGAUCAGUGCUCUUACAAACAAACCUGAGAGCAACAGGCCUCCAGAGACCGCCAAUGAAGAGCAAGUAGAGAGUUUCACAUCAAAGCCAUCAGCAUUGCCAAAAUUUUCACAGUUUCUUGGAGACCCAGUUGAGAAAGCUGCCCAACUAAGACCUAUCUCCCUACCAGGAGUUUCUAGCACUGAAGGUAAAUUUUUAUACCACGGGGUAGUAAUGGGAAUGUUCAAAGUAAUAACUUUUUAGUGUUUAUUUUCACUUGUCAAAA
rnacentral:sRNA from 1 species